CUGGAGAGCUGAUCCAUGAGGCGGUUCUUGCGAUUAACUACGAUGCGUCGAGUGAAGAUAUUGCUCGAGUCUGCCACGCUCAUCCCACUAUGAGCGAGGCUCUCAAGGAAGCUGCCAUGGCCACCUAUGACAAGCCGAUUCACAUCUAAAUGCAAACAGGUAUGUCACAGUUUGGUUUUUGGUUUGGUUUGGUUUAGCUUUUUUUAUUUGGUGUGUUGAUUUCUUGUUAUGUCCCACAUUAGGAGGACCGUAAAGGAGAGAGCCAGCCACCGAUGACAAGCCAAAUCGAACCGGGUUGGAUUUGGUUCGGUUUUCUGUGGUUUAGCCUUCACUUUGUCCUUUCAUUUUCUGUGGAUUAUAUUCGUUAGUUUUCUUUACAAAUGUUCAGAUUCGGGCUGGGCCUGAUCCGUAAUAAUACUUCUACAUUCACUCUACUCAUUUUGGUUUAUUGAGUAAACCAAGUUGGUUUUGAUUUCUUGCUUCCGGUUCAAUUUCCGGUUUACCUUUACCCCCAAAUUUUAUCCUUCACUUUGUCCUUUCAUUUUCCAAAUGUUCAGAUUCGGGCUGAGGCCUGAUCCGUAACAAUACUUCUACAUUCACUCUACUCAUUUUGGUUUAUCGAGUAAACCAAGUUGGUUUUGAUUUCUUGCUUCCGGUUUACGUUUACCCCCAGAUUUUAUCACUCGGUUUACAUCAAUAUUUUUCCGUGUACGUUUCACUAGUACUCGUAGACACCAAAACGAAUAUUAUUAACUCGAUGAAGAAUUGACCUUAUGCAUCUGAUUAGGAGUGGGCAAAAAACCUGAUCCAAAUCAGACCAAAAUGUAUGUUUAAACUAUUUGGUUAAAGAUUUUAAGUCUUU
rnacentral:lncRNA from 1 species